AAAAAAAAAAGCACUUGUUUAAAUUCCUUGCUCAGAACAUGCGAACGUAUGAAAGCUGGUGGUUCCUUUUAACAUGAGUCUUCAAUAUUCCCAGCUAAGGAGUUUUAGUUUGUAGAUAUUAUAGGACUAUACCAUUUGUAUUUCAUAUACCUUUGACUAUUGGCUGUUCUUAUUGGCACUAUAGUAUUGCUAGCCUAAUCUCGGAAGUUGAUAGGCUUGAAGUCAUAAAGAGCGCUGUGCAUCAAGCAUUGCUAAGAGCUGUUGGCAAAUGUAUUUAAGUGCUGUUUGAAUGCUUACGAAUGCUCAGACUGCUCUAUCAAAUCAUAGACUUACUUAUAAUAUAGUUAACACAGUUUCCGGAUUUGACCAAAAUAAUGACCAAAGGCUCGUAUUUCUAUCAUUUCAAAAACAAAACAUUUAUUCUUUCAGUGAAAUACGGAACUGUUCCGUACUUAAUCGAAUGGAUGGCAUCCCUAAGUCUCAAUAUUGCUGUUACAUUGCACAACCUUCAAUGUCAUGUCAUAAUUAUGUGAAAUUGUGGCAAAUUAAUUACGGUGUUAGGAAGAAAUGGUCUUCACACAGUUCACAACGAGCCAGGCGGCCCAAACUGCUGCAUAUACCCUGACUCUGCUUGCACUGAACGCAAGAGAAGUGACAAUUUCCCUAGUUAAUAUUGCCUGCUAACAUGAAUUUCUUAACUAAAUAUGCAGGUUUCAAAAAAUAUAUACUUGUGUAUUGAUUUUAAGACAGUCAUUGAUUAUGGUUAGGUACAUUGGUGCAACGGCAGUGCUUUUUUUCAUGACUGAGCUUGUUAAAUCAUCACCCUUUUGGUGAAGUACGCUGUGAUUCAAUGAUAAAUUAACAUGCAUUGAUUAUUUGCACUGCAGGGCAAGCUAGUUGAACUAGUAAUAUCAUCAACCAUGUGUAGUUAACUAGUGAUUAUGGUAAUUUUUAAUGCUAGCUAGCAACUUACCGUGGCUUGUUGCUGCACUCGCGUAACAGGUGGUCAGCCUGCCACGCAGUCUCCUCGUGGAGUGAGAUGUAAUCGGCGUCCAAAAAUGUUUAUGAAAACUUAAUCGGGGUCGACCUCUAACAGAUGCAUUGAUCCAUUGGCAGCUAAAUGAGUGCACAGAACUCGUAGCCUCUAACUUCUCUUGAGCUUUCAUGCUGAGGACUGAUUAUUGAAGGCGGUAGUUGGAAAUAUUUUUCUAAUAGGUUACUGUGAGGGACUAGUUUUAAUAACAUAUAAUUCGCAGUGGAUGUUCCUCUUUCCUACAUUUUCACACAGCAGGCCAGGUACUUCUAUGCAUGCUCAGGCACUCAUGCUUCCUCAACAUUAUCAGGACUGAGAAGCCAGACUUGCUCAUUAGUCACAUGGAGCACUCCAAACAAAAGACAAUGAGAAAUUGACAAAUCUCAUAAAUGAUUAUGAAAUAAACGUAAACUCAGAAGUGUAGAAGGUUGCAAACUCUGCAAACAGUGUUUCUACUCAAUGAGAACAGUAAAAUGACUAAUGCAUGCAUUAACAGAAAUUGUAACCAAAUGACAGCUUAACAGUACAUUUACUAAAAUCAAAGGGCAAAGAAUUUACACUGAAUUGGCGGGAGACCGCUGAGCAAUUCUGUAGAGACUCGACCAUCUUCGCCACACACCCCGCCCCUUGUCCCAACAUUUAAAUAUUCUACUCUAGACAGCUUCACACAUUUUAGCUUUUCACCCCAGCCGUAACUCGAUCAGCUAGGUCUUAAUGCCCUGCGUUUACCAAAUUGCAGAUUUCCCAAAUAGGCAUCGGCCUACGGGAUUUUGAAAUGAUCCACAACAACAAAAAAUGUAAGAUGCAAGAUGAUCCUCAGUUCCUCUUUGGCCAAGUCAUGCUUUCUGGUGAAGUGUGUCGAAUGGUCUUGUUCCUCUAUAGACAAGUACUUUUGUCAUUUAUUUCCAUUCCCUAUUGGGCCCACCCCAUGCAGUUAAUCCCAUUCUAUUGGUUUUCAUAUUUACUUUAUUUCGUUGUCCAGAAGCAAAAUGUACAAUCGUUGUCAUAUUAGCAACCCAUCCACGUUGAGUCUUUAGAUUCCCCUGCUUUCUAACUUGACAAUGCAGUUGUAUUGGUUGCUGCGAUAAAUGCGUUGCUUUUUCUGUUAAAAGAUGCAUUGCUAUAUUCUGAGCACUGGGUGGAUGCCCUAAUAGAUGCCCAUACGUGUCCGGUAAAUUACUCUUUCCCUGUCACGUUGUCUGGAAACUUAUCCUAUUUUUUUUAUUUUUCCCCCUAAUGGAAACCUUGGUUCAGUCCCAUUGGCUGUUGCUCUAACAUGGGUAGACAACCCAGGCAGGGGUGUGCCAGAGUAGCCUUAGUCCCAAUUAUGCAGCAGGUAAAUGAUGACUUGGUUAGCUGCUGCUGCCCUUAAGUUAAUAUGUACUGAUGCCAAUAGAUUCUGAUUAUGGGCUUUUCUCUCCUCAUACAGGAAGCCAGUGAGGCAUACCUUGUUGGCCUGUUUGAGGACACCAACCUGUGUGCCAUCCAUGCCAAGAGGGUCACCAUCAUGCCCAAAGACAUCCAGCUGGCCAGGCGAAUCCGAGGCGAGCGUGCAUAAUAUGAACACUUUGAACUCUUCGAGGAAAGCAAGAAGCUCACCCCAAAGAGACUGAUGGAGGACUUUCCACCACGGCUGCUGAUACUUGCGUCCAAGGGACUGGUCUACAUUCUAAGUCUUGUGACUGGCUUUGCUGGUAAUGAACUUGAUGGGAUGACUGAGCUCCUCACCAUCCUAAUCUGCUGUUUUUGACUUAGCCAGCCACUGGGAGGUCAGGGAGAGGGUCCGUGAAUGGUUUAAUAAAAAACAGGCCAGGUGUAACAGUAACAACAUAUCAAUAAAUGGCAUUGAACAGAAUGCCACUCCCCACCCUUAAA